rnacentral:tRNA from 1 species
GGUUAUGGCUCAGCGGUGGAGCGCUCGCUUAGCACACGCAAGGUCCUGGGUUCGAUCCUCAGCACCA